rnacentral:rRNA from 1 species
GGUAAUUUGACCGUGCAAAGGUAGCAUAAUCAUUAGUUUUUUAAUUGAAAGCUGGAAUGAAAGGUUGGAUGAGAAAAAAGCUGUCUCUAUUUAAUUUAUUUAGAAUUUUAUUUUUAAGUUAAAAAGCUUAAAUUUAAAUGGAAGACGAGAAGACCCUAUAGAGUUUUAUUAAUUUUUUUUUAUAAAAAUAAUAGUAUUUUUUAUUUUUUUAAGGGAUAUUAAUUUGGUUGGGGUGAUUGAAAAAUUAAAUUAACUUUUUUUUUAUUAUUACAUUUAUAUAUGAUUAUUUGAUCCUUAGUUUAAGAUUAAAAGAUAAAAUUACCUUAGGGAUAACAGCGUAAUUUUUUUUGAGAGUUCUAAUCGAAAGAAAAGAUUGCGACCUCGAUGUUGGAUUAAAAUAAAAUUUUGGUGUAGAAGCUAAAA